rnacentral:rRNA from 1 species
UACGAAGGGGGCGAGCGUUGUUCGGAUUUACUGGGCGUAAAGGGCGCGCAGGCGGCUCAUUUUGUCAGGCGUGAAAGCCCCGGGCUUAACCUGGGAACUGCGUUUGAUACGGAUGGGCUAGAGUUCGGGAGAGGAGAGUGGAAUUCCCAGUGUAGAGGUGAAAUUCGUAGAUAUUGGGAAGAGCACCGGUGGCGAAGGCGGCUCUCUGGACCGAGACUGACGCUGAGGCGCGAAAGCGUGGGGAGCAAACAGG